AUCUUAAAUUGUGUUGUGUAUAAAAGGAAAUUUGAUUUAUUAAAUUAUAGUUUAUACACAAUACAAUGUAUCUGUUAUCAAUGAUUUCAGCAGGCAGGUAUCUAGUCUAUUCUUAGGCAAUUACAUAACAUCUAUUUUUAGCUUAGUAGGAAUAGUGCCCUAGAGGGGGGUUAGAGUAUUGUUGAUGAAUUGAGAGGAAGCAUCGUUGUAUUUGAUGCAAUUACAAUCAGUUAUCCCACCCACCAGCCCCAACUACACCUGUGCAUUAACUGGGUAUUUAGCUUAUGUGAUAGGUAUGAUAUGGAUGUAUUAAAUAUGUAUAAAUUUAAAGGUGUUACUCUAAGUUACAGUCAGACCAAUAUUGUGUAAUUCUGACUGCAAGUUCUUG
rnacentral:lncRNA from 1 species